GACGAACGCUGGCGGCGUGCUUAACACAUGCAAGUCGAACGAUGAAGCCGGAGCUUGCUCCGGUGGAUUAGUGGCGAACGGGUGAGUAACACGUGAGCAAUCUGCCCUUGACUCUGGGAUAACUGCGGGAAACUGUAGCUAAUAACGGAUACGACACCUUGGGGCAUCCCAGGGUGUGGAAAGAAUUUCGGUCAAGGAUGAGCUCGCGGCCUAUCAGCUAGUUGGUGAGGUAAGAGCUCACCAAGGCGACGACGGGUAGCCGGCCUGAGAGGGUGACCGGCCACAAUGGAACUGAGACACGGUCCAGACUCCUACGAGAGGCAGCAGUGGGGAAUAUUGCACAAUGGGCGAAAGCCUGAUGCAGCAACGCCGCGUGAGGGAUGAAGGCCUUCGGGUUGUAAACCUCUUUUAGCAGGGAAGAAGCGAGAGUGACGGUACCUGCAGAAAAAGCACCGGCUAACAACGUGCCAGCCGCCGCGGUAA
rnacentral:rRNA from 1 species